AAAUUAUCGAGCGACUGGAAAAAAUCCUAUCAGUGCCUGGACCUGAAGCAGAGAAGCAGCAAUUCCUUUCACAGGUCAUUUUGCCAGAGAUUUUGAUUAAGUGGUUGCAAAACAACAGCAAUAUGUGCCGAUACCAAGCAGAAUCUUUGCUUAUGAAGAGCACACCUUUCCAGGACAAGACAAGAGCUGACGAGAUCACUACAGGGAACCGAGAAAGCUCAGAAGAGG